rnacentral:misc_RNA from 1 species
GAUGAAGGACGUAGUGAAAUGCGAUAAGUAAUGUGAAUUGCAGAAUCUCGUGAAUCAUCGAAUCUUUGAACGCACAUUGCGCCCUAUGGAAUUCUGUAGGGCAUGCCUGUCUGAGCGUCAGCAGCAAAAAAAUCAAAAUCUUUGUAGGUAAAGAUUUGGAUUUGGUUAAGAGAUGUAAUCUGUAAAGAACCGGUUACUCUUUUGAAAUUUAAAGGCAGUAUUGAUCAAUCCAACUGUAAACGUGAUAAAACAUUUCGUUUUAUUGUUAGGAAUGAGCUUUUUGCUUGCCUAUAAACCCACUCAUCUUCAUGGGUGACCUCAGAUCAGGUAGGGAUACCCGCUGAACUUAAGCAUAUCAAUAAGCGGAGGA